CUCUAAUUUUGAGACAAAGUAGCAAGUAUGAAGUGUGCUAUGGGAGAAAAAGUACUAGUGUUUGUUGGGUAUAUAGUAUUUUACUGUUCUUAGUGUUUGUCAUGAUUCAUCUAUCAAUAUGACUAAUGAGCCCUGUUUCAAGUGCUUCAGCACUGUUUUACAUAUCUUGGAAGUACUUGUACAGACUUAGCUCUACCACUGUAGCAGAUCAGGAUUAACAGGCAACGUUUGUACUUGCCUGGAUUGCUUGACUUGAUGCAGGAAUUUUGAAGGAAGGAGAGUGAAUUUGGGGCUGUCUUGCUCCUGAUUUGUGCCUUAACCUCUCAUCUCUGGGUAUUUACUCUUGUGUGCACAGCAGAUGUAAUUUCUGGAAAGAGAGCAGUCUUACCUAAAACUUCACUGUAGUAUUGAUCCCAGUUUGCCCAGAGAAUGUAAUGAAAUACGAAAUCAUACAGAGCGUAGCCGAGGAUGUUUUUCAGCCUUUGCCAGAAGGUCAUCCUAUCUGUUAGGCUGGUUAGGGUGGUUGGUACGUAGGAAGGAGGAGAUGGGAGUGUUCCACAGAGCCGCUCCACCGUGUUGCCCAUGGAGAACCGGAACGUAUACACAAAGGGAAUACCCAGCUUCUCAGCAACCAGCUCCCCGCUGGGAAAUAGUGGGUCUGCCAAAAGGAGGUCGAAGGCAGAUGCCCUCAGUCUUUCCAUCAGGGCCUCAUUCUUCACAACUCCAUCACAAAUGGUUUUGGUUACGUUCUUCAUCUGCAAUAGCAUUUGAACUACCUUGGCACAAAAAAGGUGAUUGCCCCAGCUGGCACCCUCUGGUGGUAAACAGCUUGCUGAAGCUGGAAGAUGUGAUUCAUGUGAUUCCUCUGGAGCAGCAGAGAGAGCCUUCAGCCCUGAGGGGCUCAGUCCAGCAAGGCUUGACUAUUAUGCCAGCAUGUUUCAAC